CGCUGGCGGCGUGCCUAAUACAUGCAAGCCGAGCGAACGGACGAGAAGCUUGCUUCUCUGAUGUUAGCGGCGGACGGGUGAGUAACACGUGGAUAACCUACCUAUAAGACUGGGAUAACUUCGGGAAACCGGAGCUAAUACCGGAUAAUAUUUUGAACCGCAUGGUUCAAAAGUGAAAGACGGUCUUGCUGUCACUUAUAGAUGGAUCCGCGCUGCAUUAGCUAGUUGGUAAGGUAACGGCUUACCAAGGCAACGAUGCAUAGCCGACCUGAGAGGGUGAUCGGCCACACUGGAACUGAGACACGGUCCAGACUCCUACGGGAGGCAGCAGUAGGGAAUCUUCCGCAAUGGGCGAAAGCCUGACGGAGCAACGCCGCGUGAGUGAUGAAGGUCUUCGGAUCGUAAAACUCUGUUAUUAGGGAAGAACAUAUGUGUAAGUAACUGUGCACAUCUUGACGGUACCUAAUCAGAAAGCCACGGCUAACUACGUGCCAGCAGCCGCGGUAAUACGUAGGUGGCAAGCGUUAUCCGGAAUUAUUGGGCGUAAAGCGCGCGUAGGCGGUUUUUUAAGUCUGAUGUGAGAGCCCACGGCUCAACCGUGGAGGGUCAUUGGAAACUGGAAAACUUGAGUGCAGAAGAGGAAAGUGGAAUUCCAUGUGUAGCGGUGAAAUGCGCAGAGAUAUGGAGGAACACCAGUGGCGAAGGCGACUUUCUGGUCUGUAACUGACGCUGAUGUGCGAAAGCGUGGGGAUCAAACAGGAUUAGAUACCCUGGUAGUCC
rnacentral:rRNA from 1 species